rnacentral:rRNA from 1 species
GAUGAACGCUGGCGGCGUGCCUAAUACAUGCAAGUCGAGCGAACAGACGAGGAGCUUGCUCCUCUGACGUUAGCGGCGGACGGGUGAGUAACACGUGGAUAACCUACCUAUAAGACUGGGAUAACUUCGGGAAACCGGAGCUAAUACCGGAUAAUAUAUUGAACCGCAUGGUUCAAUAGUGAAAGACGGUUUUGCUGUCACUUAUAGAUGGAUCCGCGCCGCAUUAGCUAGUUGGUAAGGUAACGGCUUACCAAGGCAACGAUGCGUAGCCGACCUGAGAGGGUGAUCGGCCACACUGGAACUGAGACACGGUCCAGACUCCUACGGGAGGCAGCAGUAGGGAAUCUUCCGCAAUGGGCGAAAGCCUGACGGAGCAACGCCGCGUGAGUGAUGAAGGUCUUCGGAUCGUAAAACUCUGUUAUUAGGGAAGAACAAAUGUGUAAGUAACUAUGCACGUCUGGACGGUACCUAAUCAGAAAGCCACGGCGAACUACGU